GAUGAACGCUGGCGGCGUGCCUAAUACAUGCAAGUCGAGCGAACAGACGAGGAGCUUGCUCCUCUGACGUUAGCGGCGGACGGGUGAGUAACACGUGGAUCACCUACCUAUAAUACUGGGAUAACUUCGGGAAACCGGAGCUAAUACCGGAUAAUAUAUUGAACCGCAUGGUUCAAUAGUGAAAGACGGUUUUGCUGUCACUUAUAGAUGGAUCCGCGCCGCAUUAGCUAGUUGGUAAGGUAACGGCUUACCAAGGCAACGAUGCGUAGCCGACCUGAGAGGGUGAUCGGCCACACUGGAACUGAGACACGGUCCAGACUCCUACGGGAGGCAGCAGUAGGGAAUCUUCCGCAAUGGGCGAAAGCCUGACGGAGCAACGCCGCGUGAGUGAUGAAGGUCUUCGGAUCGUAAAACUCUGUUAUUAGGGAAGAACAAAUGUGUAAGUAACUAUGCACGUCUUGACGGUACCUAAUCAGAAAGCCACGGCUAACUACGUG
rnacentral:rRNA from 1 species